GAUCACCCCGACGCGGGUGGCGAGGGUCCCGCCGAGCGCCAGGUCUAAGAGACACUUUUUCCCGAGUCCACUGACGGCUUCUGAACCCCUGCUCCGGCCGGUCCGCACCGUUCCGGCAUUCUCUUGCUCAGUAACAAUUUCGCAGAAUCCCAUCACGUCACAAACCAAACCCCCUCCAAUUGGCCAGUGGGGAGGGUGAUUCAACUCUGUUUACUUUCUCCCCCUGCCAGUCAGAACGGCCUUCGGUGGAGAGGUGCGUCUAGAACUGAGGCGUGCGGCCAAUCCGACUGUUCCGUUUCGCUGCCUCGUGCUACCCCUACAGCCUCGAACACUGACAUUUAAAAGGGUAACAGCUGGGAGGCAGGGAAGGGGCAGCCGCACACUUUCGGAGUGCCUCGCGGUCCCGUGGCCGGUCCGGGCCUCCUGGCUCACGUUCCAGCUUGCGGAGCUUUGGGACACAUCUUUCCUAGUCAGUUGCGCUCGUUCCUAUGGCAAAAGAGAACUUCAGCUUCGGUUUUCCAGCUCCCAAACAGUUAAGUGACUUCCUGCAAACGCUACAGUCCCAGCAACCAGCCUUCCAAUCAAAAUGAAUAAACCAGCAGACCAAUUCAGAGCCCAUUUCAGUGGUGCAGGUGAGAGGUGUUAGAGACCUGGACAAGGUGGUGGCAGAUGAAGAUGGAGAGAAGAGAGAUAGGAUCUCGCUAUGUUGCCCAGGCUGACCUCCUGCCUCAUGCAUCCCUCACCAAGCUUAACAGUUUUUCACCUUCUCCUCUUUUUCCUGCCUGGAACAUGAAUGUGAUGACUGGAGGUGAGGCAUCUAUUUUGUGACCAUGAAACAAGAAAGCACAAAAGGAAUAGCUGAGCCUAAAAAAUAGAAGGAAUCUGGAUCUUUGACUUCAAUGAGCCAUUGUUGAGCUCUGGGCUCUUCAUUUUUUGUUAAGUGAGAAAAAUAAAGCCUUAUUUAUUUGCAUUAUUGUUAGCCUGGUUUCUGUUAAUAGAAGGUAAAUGGAUUCAUAACUGAUAUAGCAGUAGAAAGAGCCCAGUGGAAAAUUGAACCUUUAAGUAGUUUAUGAAUCAGGGUUAUGGGGAGAGAACUGCUUUGCCAGUUCUUAAAUGGGACAAGUCAUUCUUCUAAUCCCAUGCCCUCGAGAUGUGAUAGGGAUUGUCCCAAAUAUUUGGAGCCCUGGAUUUUGGACCCUCAGGGAUUUAGUUUGCUGAGGUGGCUCUUGCUUGCUUUGGGACAUUAGCCUGAAUUUGCCUGGGGCAUGGAAAGUAUGAAUGUAAAAGCAGGUGAGAGAAAAGAAAAUACCAGAAAUUAGACUGCUCUUGUCAAAUAUGGGAGGCUUCCUGAGGUGAGGAAGACCUGUAUCACAGGGAACACUUGAGAUUCACUCAUGAAAUUACACAGAGCAUUAGUCUCGAGGGAGGGGAAAGAAAAGAGGCAGUUUAGAGAGGCCCUCAAAGCACAGAUGAUUGCUAUUGCUGCUAUGCUAUUGCUAUAUUUGAGACUCAAAGGAGUAUAUUUAACACUUAUUCUGCUGGCACUUCAUUUAACUUCUUUGGCUAUAUGUAACGCCUUUUUAACAAAAAUAAAAUACUAUUUUUUAAAACUCCAUUAACACGUCAAAUUUUAACAAUAAAAAUUAAAUUGUACAUUUCAGUGUUUUGUCUGAGCCUCUGCCAGAACUUGGCAGUGCCCUGGGUUCUUUUAAUUAAGGCUACAGAUGGAUAGUGAAAAGUUCAGUUUCCCCGACUGAUUCAUACAAUGCAGGGCCCUUGUCUCUGACCUUCACCCUUUUCCACCCAGCCACAGCACUAAAAUCUUUCUUCUCUGAGAAAGCAGACAUGGCUGUUCCUCCCUUCUGAGCAUCCAGUAACCUGGCAAUGCUUUCGUUGCUACCAUUGGUGAUAACGACAAGAAAACCCUGAACAGCAACUGCAUGGAGCUGGCUCCCAUCUAGCCCAAUGUCUGGCUUAUUCAGGUUCUCUGGCCUUCUUUGAGGGGGUGGGCACUGGAAAGGAAAUGGAUCUCUGGACCAUCCUACUUCCUGCAUUGUAUUUACAAACACCACCUUCCUAAGCUCUCUGGAUAAGUGAGGUUCCUCUUCUACCACAAAUGACUCAUGCUGUAUUGUAAAUUAUUUUGGGACUCUGAGCUAGCCCUCAGCAUGUUAUCCACUGCAGGCUAUCAUUCAUUAGAGCAUCCCGCUGCCCCUGAUUUUGUAUCCCAUGCUCCUCCACAUUGGCUAGAGUUCCUGAGUCGAGAAGCUUAGGGUUUAUUUCAUAGGUCAUCCACCCCGACCCCUCCAACUUUUCUCUUUGCUUAAAUUUGUGUUUCAGAUGGAAGCAGUGAAUUCUGGAAUUCCCAGGUCUCUCUAAUGUAAAUGUCUAGAAAGAAGUUGGGCAUUGCAAGGUCAGGGAGGGUGUUAAGAGCUUCAGAUUUAGAGAAGCUGUUGACCAAAUCGUUUUGGUUUCAAACCUUAGAUAUACUGGUGACCACACAGAGGGAAGUAGACUCCUGGGCUAUAAUCCCAGAGGCUCUUGUUCAGUAGAUUUGAUGUAGGUGGCCUGUUUGACACACUUUGAGAAACCAUAGGAGCUUGCUGGUAUGGGAUUGGAUUCCCAGUGGUUCUUAAUGGAGCGUGGUACCCAAAGGGUAUUUAGGAAUCUGUGGGAGUCACCAGUAUUUAAUGUGUGGAGGCUGGAUAUGCCAAACCUCCUGCAGUGUGUGGCACAAUCCUACACAACAAGGAAUUGUUCUGCCUCAAUGCUAAUAGAACCUCCUUUUAGAAACACUGGGCUGGAAGGUGGAUGGUGAAGGGUCUUCUGUUUUGUCCUCCGAGUAACAGAAAGCUGGGCUGGUCUUCUCAUGAGGCAAUCUAGGCACAACCCCUAAGGUUUAGGAAAAUGUUUAAGAUCAGAAAAAAUUAUAGGUCCAGAAGUUAUUGCUUAAAUUAUAUAUAAUGUAGCCUUGGGUGGCAUAUUAAUAUCAUUGAUGUAUUUUGGGUUGAGAUCUCUGGAAAGCAAGAAACUUAGAACUUAUGAAGGUUCUAAAAUAGCCCUGCUGGAGACUGAUUGUAUCUCUCUAAGAAAGACAUGAGGCUAAGAGUGCUCAAUUUCAGCCUCUACCAUCUUCUUUCUGACAUUAUUUCUCAUUCAAGUCAACUCCCUCAUCCCCCAAUGCUCUCCAAGCCUUCAGAGCUGUCUGCAGCCUGCAAGAGGUAGGAGGAACUAGGUGGGCAUGCGAUUCUGCGUGAUUGCCUAUAGGAAGUGGUAGGGAUUUCUGAUUUGUGGCAGCUCGGCUGU
rnacentral:lncRNA from 1 species